UACAUGGGGUGCAAACGUUGCUCGGAAUUAUUGGGCGUAAAGCGCGCGUAGGCGGUUACUUAAGUCGGAUGUGAAAGCCCUCGGCUUAACUGAGGAAGUGCAUCCGAAACUGAGUAGCUAGAGUACGAAAGAGGGUCGCGGAAUUCCCGGUGUAGAGGUGAAAUUCGUAGAUAUCGGGAGGAACACCGGUGGCGAAGGCGGCGACCUGGGUCGAGGCUGACGCUGAUGCGCGAAAGCGUGGGGAGCAAACAGG
rnacentral:rRNA from 1 species